rnacentral:rRNA from 1 species
GAUCCUGGCUCAGAAUCAACGCUGGCGGCGUGCCUAAUACAUGCAAGUCGAACGCGAAGACCCCGCAAGGGGUGUAUAGCGUGGCAAACGGGUGAGUAACGCGUGGGCGACCUACCUUCGAGUGGGGGAUAACCUUCCGAAAGGAGGGCUAAUACCGCAUGACAUGCUCCGUUUAGAUACGGGGACAUCAAAGCCGGGGAUCGCAAGACCUGGCGCUUGACGAGGGGCCUACGUCCGAUUAGCUAGUUGGUGGGGUAAUGGCUCACCAAGGCUACGAUCGGUAUCCGGCCUGAGAGGGCGGACGGACACACUGGGACUGAGACACGGCCCAGACUCCUACGGGAGGCAGCAGUAGGGAAUUGUUCGCAAUGGGCGCAAGCCUGACGACGCAACGCCGCGUGGAGGAUGAAGACCUUCGGGUCGUAAACUCCUUUCGACCGAGAUGAAUACCUUUCGACCUAAUACGUCGAAAGGCUGACAGUAUCGAGGGAAGCAGCCCCGGCUAACUCCGUGCCAGCAGCCGCGGUAAUACGGGGGGGGCAAGCGUUGUUCGGAAUUACUGGGCGUAAAGGGUUCGUAGGUGGCCAACUCAGUCAGACGUGAAAUCCCUCAGCUUAACUGGGGAACUGCGUCUGAUACUAGAUGGCUUGAGUGCAGGAGAGGAACGCGGAAUUCCAGGUGUAGCGGUGA